GACGAACGCUGGCGGUGUGCUUAACACAUGCAAGUCGAACGGAAAGGCCCUGCUUUUGUGGGGUGCUCGAGUGGCGAACGGGUGAGUAACACGUGGGUAACCUGCCCUUGACUUUGGGAUAACUUCAGGAAACUGGGGCUAAUACCGGAUAGGAGCUCCUGCUGCAUGGUGGGGGUUGGAAAGUUUCGGCGGUUGGGGAUGGACUCGCGGCUUAUCAGCUUGUUGGUGGGGUAGUGGCUUACCAAGGCUUUGACGGGUAGCCGGCCUGAGAGGGUGACCGGCCACAUUGGGACUGAGAUACGGCCCAGACUCCUACGGGAGGCAGCAGUGGGGAAUAUUGCACAAUGGGCGGAAGCCUGAUGCAGCAACGCCGCGUGCGGGAUGACGGCCUUCGGGUUGUAAACCGCUUUCGCCUGUGACGAAGCGUGAGUGACGGUAAUGGGUAAAGAAGCACCGGCUAACUACGUG
rnacentral:rRNA from 1 species